UGCUGGAGGUAUCAGAAGUGCGAAUGUUGACAUGAGUAGCGAUAAAGCGGGUGAAAAGCCCGCUCGCCGAAAGCCCAAGGUUUCCUACGCAACGUUCAUCGGCGUAGGGUGAGUCGGCCCCUAAGGCGAGGCAGAAAUGCGUAGUCGAUGGGAAACAGGUUAAUAUUCCUGUACUUGAUUCAAAUGCGAUGUGGGGACGGAGAAGGUUAGGUUAGCAAGCUGUUGGAAUAGCUUGUUUAAGCCGGUAGGUGGAAGACUUAGGCAAAUCCGGGUCUUCUUAACACCGAGAAGUGAUGACGAGUGUCUACGGACAUGAAGUAACCGAUACCACGCUUCCAGGAAAAGCCACUAAGCUUCAGUUUGAAUCGAACCGUACCGCAAACCGACACAGGUGGGCAGGAUGAGAAUUCUAAGGCGCUUGAGAGAACUCAGGAGAAGGAACUCGGCAAAUUGAUACCGUAACUUCGGGAGAAGGUAUGCCCUCUAAGGUUAAGGACUUGCUCCGUAAGCCCUGGAGGGUCGCAGAGAAUAGGUGGCUGCGACUGUUUAUUAAAAACACAGCACUCUGCUAACACGAAAGUGGACGUAUAGGGUGUGACGCCUGCCCGGUGCUGGAAGGUUAAUUGAAGAUGUGCAAGCAUCGGAUCGAAGCCCCAGUAAACGGCGGCCGUAACUAUAACGGUCCUAAGGUAGCGAAAUUCCUUGUCGGGUAAGUUCCGACCCGCACGAAUGGCGUAACGAUGGCCACACUGUCUCCUCCCGAGACUCAGCGAAGUUGAAGUGGUUGUGAAGAUGCAAUCUACCCGCUGCUAGACGGAAAGACCCCGUGAACCUUUACUGUAGCUUUGCAUUGGACUUUGAAGUCACUUGUGUAGGAUAGGUGGGAGGCUUUGAAGCAGAGACGCCAGUCUCUGUGGAGCCGUCCUUGAAAUACCACCCUGGUGUCUUUGAGGUUCUAACCCAGACCCGUAAUCCGGGUCGGGGACCGUGCAUGGUAGGCAGUUUGACUGGGGCGGUCUCCUCCCAAAGAGUAACGGAGGAGUUCGAAGGUUACCUAGGUCCGGUCGGAAAUCGGACUGAUAGUGCAAUGGCAAAAGGUAGCUUAACUGCGAGACCGACAAGUCGAGCAGGUGCGAAAGCAGGACAUAGUGAUCCGGUGGUUCUG
rnacentral:rRNA from 1 species